AUCACAUAUCAAGAGAGCCUUCGGCGCACAGGGAACGUGCGUCCGUCGACUCGUUUUGACCGCGUCGGCAUCACGGACAGUACGUUGAGUGCAGAAGCCACGUGCCAACGGCCUCACGAGAAGGAGAYGGUGGCGAGCUGACACUGUUGUGCCUAAACUUCGAAGAGACGGAAACGAGGCAACACUACUGCAGCACGACGAAUGCGUGCCUCCGAAGAGACCGCCGCAGGAUGGAGUCGGACACCUGCAGGGAAAGAGCGGUCCAAGUGUGAGGCGCGAACGUCUGUUGCGACGUAGCGCGCACGUUUGCGAGAGAGUCGGAAGCGCACGCUUGCGUGCACGGAAAARCGCGGAAAACCCUUUUCCGCUCCGUGCGCAAAGCCAGCGCGAUCGCAGUUUGCGUUGUUUGCCUUCGUAGUACGUCGAGCUCUAGCAAAAGGUCGCUCGUCCGCGUCAGCGCACGGGUGUCGGCGCUCUUCCGGGCUUCGUCGCAGGAAUAGGAGUCGGAAAAGAUUCCUGCGCGGAGGGAAAGGGUGCGCCCCGAAGCGGUAGUGACGCGGCAACACGAGUGUGCCGUCCGCGAGCGCGAAGAAAACGGCACGGCGGAGCAGUCGCGGCGACUCGGAAAAUGUCUCCCUCGAGAGAGUUGGCYGAGCUGAAGCAUUCCGUCGUAGUCCGCCGUCGGUCCAAGUGCUUCGCAGUCUCUGUCCCGAAWAGACUGGGCCACUCCAGUUGGGGCGGGGGCGACGCUACACUAGACGAUGCCUACUGCCAGGCUAGAGUCGUCCUGCGGUGCCCGCUAAAGCGCGCGCUGCGAGGGUGGCAUGCCUCGGCGGUGUUUGGGCUUCAGACACGGUCGUUUACCACGCAACUGCUCGUGCGCCGCACGCGUGUGGCGGUUUACCGCCUGCCAGCCUCGUCUAUAAGUAGCUCCGUGUUGGGCGAAUGACGUGGUAGGGCGUCGUACUCGGUUCGCGCUGGGUUUUCGAACGUGUCGAGUCCUUUCAGCUGCACGCUGGAAGGGGCGAAAGCGAUGUAUCCGUUG
rnacentral:rRNA from 1 species